rnacentral:rRNA from 1 species
CGAGCACGCGCGUGUGGCAUAUCAAUAAGCGGAGGAAAAGAAACUAACUAGGAUUCCCUCAGUAACGGCGAGUGAAGCGGGAAGAGCUCAAAUUUGAAAUCUUCAAGGGUUUCCCUUGACGAAUUGUAGUUUAAAGAAGUGUUUUCUGUUAGAGAGGUGGUAAAAGUUCUUUGGAAUAGGACAUCAUAGAGGGUGAGAAUCCCGUAUUUGGUCAUUCUUUCUAGCUUUGUGAUACACUUUCAACGAGUCGGAUUGUUUGGGAAUGCAGUCCAAAAUGGGUGGUAAGUUUCACCUAAAGCUAAAUAUUGGCGAGAGACCGAUAGCGAACAAGUACCGUGAGGGAAAGAUGAAAAGAACUUUGAAAAGAGAGUUAAACAGUACGUGAAAUUGUCAAAAGGGAAGCGUUUGACACCAGUGUUGUUUUUCCGAAAAUCAAUUACGAAUGUUUUGGUUUUUGAGGAAGUUAUGACUUCAUCGGCUUGCUCCUUUCUUUACGAAACUUUCUUAAUGCACUUUUCGGUUAACAAGUCAACAUCAAUUUCUUUUGUUGUAAAAGGGUAUGAGGAAGGUGGCUUUCUUUUCGGAGAAAGUGUUUAUAGCCUUGUGCCUCUGACAAUCGGAGAGAUUGAGGUCUGCAGCGUAGAUCCUUCGGGGUUAGAUACGUUUGUGCUAAGUUAUAGCUUUUCAUAGACAACUUGUUGACUAUGUUUAGUCUUGUAGCUUACUCGCUGACGCUAUUUUACCUACGCUUAGGAUGUUGAACUCUAUCACACACAG